UACGUAGGGUGCAAGCGUUGUCCGGAAUCAUCGGGCGUAAAGAGCGUGUAGGCGGCUCGAUCAGUCUGCUGUGAAAGCCCAGGGCUCAACCCUGGGAUGCCGGUAGAUACUGUCGAGCUAGAGUCCGGAAGAGGCGAGUGGAAUUCCUGGUGUAGCGGUGAAAUGCGCAGAUAUCAGGAGGAACACCAAUGGCGAAGGCAGCUCGCUGGGACGGUACUGACGCUGAGACGCGAAAGCGUGGGGAGCAAACAGG
rnacentral:rRNA from 1 species